GGAUGUUUUGUAGGUGUAUAAAAGCAGAAUAUUCCCAAAUGUAGCUUGGUCUCCUCCGUCCCAAAUUACUUUCCAGCCUCUGCACCCCUUUCUGUUAAUACUCUCAUCAGUUUACAGCUUGGAAACGUUGGUGGUCUAUAUCUGAUGCUAUUUCUUUCCCUUGUUCCCAUCGGUUGCCAAGUACUGUCGAUUCUGCCCGGCAGUAAUUCUAGUAUCCAAACACUCUCUUUACCUACUUCCUCCGCCUACUCAAAGUUCUCGUUAUCAUCCCCUGGAACGAAGGAAUGCAAUUCCUGUCUUUUUAAUGCCCUUCCUCUAGCCUCACUCGCCUACUUGCCCAUCUUACACUUUGCUGCAGGCGUAGUCAUCUUCAGGUACACUCGUGAUUGAAAAUCUUUACUGGCUUCCGGUUGUCUGUAGAUUAAAGGCCAAAUUUAUUAACUUUGGAUUCAGAAUUUUAAGUUUCUUUUCUGCUGCCCACCUUUCAUUCUCCUUUCACCCGUAACGAACCAGACCAUGUGAAGCACCUCAUUGUUGAACUACUCCUUACCUUUCUGUAAAGGCUCAUGUCUCUGCUUGGAAUACCCUCCUCUCCCGCUCAUCUCAGGAUGUUGAAAUUCUAUCCAUUAAAACUGAAUGAAGUAACAUCUCCCUCUAGAAAAAAUUUUCCUUCUACUUAUUGUCCAUUGUGCUUUCUGAACAUUCUUCAUAUAUUCAUUCAGGUAUUACCACUUUCUAACUUAGAAGUAAAAUAAUUUGUGUAGGAGUUCCCACUGUGGUGCAAUGGAAACGAAUCUGACAAGUAUCCAUGAGGAUUCAGAUUCGAUCCCUGGCCUCGUCAGUGGGUGGGGAAUCUGGCAUUGCCCUGAGCUGUGGUGUAGGUCACAGAUGCAGGUCAGAUCCCAAAUUGCUGUGGCUGUGGUGUGGGCCAGCAGCUGUAGCUUGAUUCGACCCCUAGCCUGGGAACUUAUAUAUGCUCCAGGCGCAGCCCUAGAAAGGAAAUAAUAAUAAUAAUAAUAAUUUGGAGUUCCCAUUGUGGCUCAAUGGUUAACAAAUCCGACUAGGAACCAUGAGGUUGCGGGUUCGAUCCCUGGCCUCACUCAGUGGGUCAGGGACCUGGCAUUGCCAUGAGCUGCGGUCCUACACCACAGCCACAGCAACGCAAGAUCUGAGCCAAAUCUGCAACCUACACCACAGCUCACGGCAACACCAGAUCCUUAACCCACUGAGGGAGGCCAGGGAUCAAACCUGAAACCUAGUUGGAUUCUUUUCCACUGUGCCACAGUGGCAACCCCCGAAACAAAUCUCUUAAGGUGCAUUUCAUCGGCAGAACCCAAGUCCAAAUGUCUUGUCCCUUAGCUAAAAGGAAAGCUGGACAGGUGAACUUCUAGUAUCCUCCUUGGAAAAGGAGGACUCAUAAAGUAGUAAAUUGAAUAGAAGAAAGAUAUUCAACAGCCGAAAAUAUGAGUUACCCACUGUAGUCUAGUUUACCAGUUACCAUACUUUGCUUUGUACUGUGGUUCGUUGCAUACAUAAAAUCACAAUGUUGAAGCAUUGAAAGGGAUUAUCUGGUUGCAUGUCUUUUUUUUUUUUUUCUUAGCAAACAUCCCAAGAGAUAAAAUGACUUCUCCAAGGUCAUAGAAUUAGUGGUAGAACUAGAAAUGUAACCUUCAGUCUUCGUUAAUUUAACAUAGAUUUUGAAUAUCUGUUAGAUGCCAAGUACUGAUCUAGGCCCUGAAAACACCAUUGGAUAAGAAUAAAAACCCUGCCCACAUAGAGCUUAUAUUCUAGUGGGGGAGAUAGAUGAUAAGAAAGUGAAUAUGU
rnacentral:lncRNA from 1 species